rnacentral:rRNA from 1 species
AGAGUUUGAUCCUGGCUCAGAACGAACGCUGGCGGCGUGCUUAACACAUGCAAGUCGAACGGUAAGGCCCUUCGGGGUACACGAGUGGCGAACGGGUGAGUAACACGUGGGUAAUCUGCCCUGCACAUCGGGAUAAGCCUGGGAAACUGGGUCUAAUACCGAAUAGGACCACAGAACACAUGUUCUGUGGUGGAAAGCUUUUGCGGUGUGGGAUGGGCCCGCGGCCUAUCAGCUUGUUGGUGGGGUGAUGGCCUACCAAGGCGACGACGGGUAGCCGGCCUGAGAGGGUGUCCGGCCACACUGGGACUGAGAUACGGCCCAGACUCCUACGGGAGGCAGCAGUGGGGAAUAUUGCACAAUGGGCGAAAGCCUGAUGCAGCGACGCCGCGUGGGGGAUGACGGCCUUCGGGUUGUAAACCUCUUUCACCAUCGACGAAGGUCCGGGAUUCCUCGGAUUGACGGUAGGUGGAGAAGAAGCACCGGCCAACUACGUGCCAGCAGCCGCGGUAAUACGUAGGGUGCGAGCGUUGUCCGGAAUUACUGGGCGUAAAGAGCUCGUAGGUGGUUUGUCGCGUUGUUCGUGAAAUCUCACGGCUUAACUGUGAGCGUGCGGGCGAUACGGGCAGACUUGAGUACUGCAGGGGAGACUGGAAUUCCUGGUGUAGCGGUGGAAUGCGCAGAUAUCAGGAGGAACACCGGUGGCGAAGGCGGGUCUCUGGGCAGUAACUGACGCUGAGGAGCGAAAGCGUGGGGAGCGAACAGGAUUAGAUACCCUGGUAGUCC